rnacentral:rRNA from 1 species
AUUGAACGCUGGCGGCAUGCCUUACACAUGCAAGUCGAACGGCAGCGGGGGAGAAGCUUGCUUUUCCUGCCGGCGAGUGGCGAACGGGUGAGUAAUACAUCGGAACGUGCCCUGUAGUGGGGGAUAACUAGUCGAAAGAUUAGCUAAUACCGCAUACGACCUGAGGGUGAAAGUGGGGGACCGCAAGGCCUCAUGCUAUAGGAGCGGCCGAUGUCUGAUUAGCUAGUUGGUGGGGUAAAGGCCUACCAAGGCGACGAUCAGGAGCUGGUCUGAGAGGACGAUCAGCCACACUGGGACUGAGACACGGACCAGACUCCUACGGGAGGCAGCAGUGGGGAAUUUUGGACAAUGGGCGAAAGCCUGAUCCAGCAAUGCCGCGUGUGUGGAGAAGGCCUUCGGGUUGUAAAGCACUUUUGUCCGGAAAGAAAUGGCUCUGGUUAAUACCUGGGGUCGAUGACGGUACCGGAAGAAUAAGGACCGGCUAACUACGUGCCAGCAGCCGCAGUAA